GCAGGUGCGGGGGACAGUCAGGCGGUCCUGGGGGUCAGGCCCUGGCGGGGUCCCCCCGGCUCCGGGCAGGCCUGGCCCAGGAGGGUCAAGCGCUUUGCUCCCCGCAUCUUCUGCCUGAGUGACGAGACAAGCCGGAAAAGCUCGAGGUCAAAGCCGAGGGAAGGUCAGCACACUGGGAAGCGAUUGUCAUCUCAGCGCAGACCUUUUUACAUAGAUUUCCUGCAUUGUUCUAGGCCCUGCGCUGCAGAUGAGUCCAUUGGUAUGCAGAUUGUCCAUCAUUAAAACCAUUUGAAAAUCA